rnacentral:rRNA from 1 species
GAUGAACGCUAGCGGCAGGCCUAACACAUGCAAGUCGAGGGGUAGCAGGAUUAAGCUUGCUUAAUUGCUGACGACCGGCGCUCGGGUGCGUAACGCGUAUGCAACCUACCUUAUACUGGGGUAUAGCCCGGAGAAAUUCGGAUUAAUCCCCCAUAGUACUAAUGAAUCGCAUGGUUUAUUAGUUAAAGCAUUGCGGUAUAAGAUGGGCAUGCGUCCUAUUAGCUAGAUGGUGAGGUAACGGCUCACCAUGGCUACGAUAGGUAGGGGGCCUGAGAGGGUGGUCCCCCACACUGGUACUGAGACACGGACCAGACUCCUACGGGAGGCAGCAGUGAGGAAUAUUGGUCAAUGGGCGCAAGCCUGAACCAGCCAUGCCGCGUGUAGGAAGAAUGCCCUAUGGGUCGUAAACUUCUUUUAUUAGGGAAGAAAAAACGGGAUGCGUCCUGUACUGACGGUACUUAAUGAAUAAGGAUCGGCUAACUUCGUGCCAGCAGCCGCCGCUG